AACGUAGGGGACAAGCGUUAUCCGGAUUUACUGGGCGUAAAGCGCCCGUAGGCGGCCUGACAAGUUGGACGUGAAAGCCCCCGGCUCAACUGGGGAGGGUCACGCGAUACUGGUCGACUCGAAGGCAGGAGAGGGUAGUGGAAUUCCCGGUGUAGUGGUGAAAUGCGUAGAUAUCGGGAGGAACACCAGUGGCGAAGGCGACUUCCUGGCCUGUUCUUGACGCUGAGGCGCGAAAGCUAGGGUAGCAAACGGG
rnacentral:rRNA from 1 species